rnacentral:rRNA from 1 species
AGCGAACGCUGGCGGCAGGCCUAACACAUGCAAGUCGAGCGCCGUAGCAAUACGGAGCGGCAGACGGGAGAGUAACACGUGGGAACGUACCCUUUGGUUCGGAACAACCCAGGGAAACUUGGGCUAAUACCGGAUAAGCCCUCACGGGGAAAGAUUCAUCGCCGAAGGAUCGGCCCGCGUCUGAUUAGCUAGUUGGUGGGGUAAUGGCCCACCAAGGCGACGAUCAGUAGCUGGUCUGAGAGGAUGAUCAGCCUCACUGGGACUGAGACACGGCCUAGACUCCUACGGGAGGCAGCAGUGGGGAAUAUUGGACAAUGGGAGCAAGCCUGAUCCAGCCAUGCCGCGUGGGUGAUGAAGGCCCUAGGGUUGUAAAGCCCUUUCGGCGGGGAAGAUAAUGACGGUACCCGCAGAAGAAGCCCCGGCUAACUUCGUGCCAGCAGCCGCCGCCG